AUUGAACGCUGGCGGCAGGCCUAACACAUGCAAGUCGAGCGAGCGGCGGACGGGUGAGUAAUGUCUGGGACACUGCCUGAUGGAGGGGGAUAACUACUGGAAACGGUAGCUAAUACCGCAUACCAUCAGAUGUGCGCAGAUGGGAUUAGCUAGUAGGUGGGGUAACGUCUCACCUAGGCGACGAUCCCUAUCUGGUAGGAGAGGAUGACCAGCCACACGGGAACUGAGACACGGUCCAGACUCCUACGGGAGGCAGCAGUGGGGAAUAUUGCACAAUGGGCGCAAGCCGGAGGCAGCCAUGCGGCGGGGGUGAAGAAGGCCGUCGGGUUGUAAAGCACUUUCAGCGGGGAGGCUUGACACGAAGAAGAAGCACCGGCUAACUCCGUGCCAGCAGCCGCGGUAAUAC
rnacentral:rRNA from 1 species